AUGGCGUCGCUCACCAUGAUGGCGUCCCUCUCCGCGGCCGUGGCGGUCGACCGGCGCGCGGCCGCCCCACGCCGCGGCCUCGUGGUGGCCCGGGCCGCCAAGGUCGAGAGCCAGCAGGAGCCGGCGGCCAAGAUGGCAGCCGUGGAGCCCGCCACCGACGGCCGCCGUGCCGUGGUGUUUGCUGCCGCCGCUGCGGCCUUGUCGGCCAUUGGCGGGGUGGCCUUCGCCGAGUCGGACGUCAAGAAGGGGAGCCCCGAGGCCAAGAAGAAGUACGCCCCCGUCUGCAUCACCAUGCCCACCGCCAAGAUCUGCCACAACUGA
rnacentral:rRNA from 1 species